rnacentral:rRNA from 1 species
UACGGAGGAUGCGAGCGUUAUCCGGAUUUAUUGGGUUUAAAGGGAGCGUAGGCGGGUGCCUAAGUCAGCGGUCAAAUGCCACGGCUCAACCGUGGUUUGCCGUUGAAACUGGGUGUCUUGAGAGUACGAGAGGCGGAUGGAAUUCAGGGUGUAGCGGUGAAAUGCUUAGAUAUCCUGAAGAACUCCGAUUGCGAAGGCAGUCCGCUGGCGUACGUCUGACGCUGAUGCUCGAAGGUGCGGGAAUCAAACA